rnacentral:rRNA from 1 species
ACCCGCUGAACUUAAGCAUAUCAAUAAGCGGAGGAAAAGAAACUAACAAGGAUUCCCCUAGUAACUGCGAGUGAAGCGGGAAAAGCUCAAAUUUAAAAUCUGGCGGUCUUUGGCUGUCCGAGUUGUAAUCUAGAGAAGUGUUAUCCGUGCUGGACCGUGUACAAGUCUCCUGGAAUGGAGCGUCAUAGAGGGUGAGAAUCCCGUCUUUGACACGGACUGCCAGGACUUUGUGAUGCGCUCUCAAAGAGUCGAGUUGUUUGGGAAUGCAGCUCAAAAUGGGUGGUAAAUUCCAUCUAAAGCUAAAUAUUGGCGAGAGACCGAUAGCGAACAAGUACCGUGAGGGAAAGAUGAAAAGAACUUUGGAAAGAGAGUUAAACAGUACGUGAAAUUGCUGAAAGGGAAACGCUUGAAGUCAGUCGCGUUGUCCAGGGAUCAACCUUGCUUUUGCUUGGUGCACUUUCUGGUUGACGGGUCAGCAUCAAUUUUGACUAUUGGAAAAAGAUUAGGGGAAUGUGGCAUCUUCGGAUGUGUUAUAGCCCUUGGUUGCAUACAAUGGUUGGGAUUGAGGAACUCAGCACGCCGCAAGGCCGGGUUUUAACCACGUACGUGCUUAGGAUGCUGGCAUAAUGGCUUUAAUCGACCCGUCUUGAAACACGGACCAAGGAGUCUAACAUGCCUGCGAGUGUUUGGGUGGAAAACUCGAGCGCGUAAUGAAAGUGAAAGUUGAGAUCCCUGUCGUGGGGAGCAUCGACGCCCGGACCAGACCUUUUGUGACGGUUCCGCGGUAGAGCAUGUAUGUUGGGACCCGAAAGAUGGUGAACUAUGCCUGAAUAGGGUGAAGCCAGAGGAAACUCUGGUGGAGGCUCGUAGCGAUUCUGACGUGCAAAUCGAUCGUCAAAUUUGGGUAUAGGGGCGAAAGACUAAUCGAACC